rnacentral:rRNA from 1 species
AUGGGAACGCGAAGAACCUUACCUAGACUUGACAUCUCCUGAAUAGUGUAGAGAUACAUGAAGCCCUUCGGGGCAGGAAGACAGGUGGUGCAUGGUUGUCGUCAGCUCGUGUUGUGAAAUGUUGGGUUAAGUCCCGCAACGAGCGCAACCCCUAUUAUUAGUUGCUAACAUUAAGUUGAGCACUCUAGUGAGACUGCCCGGGUUAACCGGGAGGAAGGUGGGGAUGACGUCAAAUCAUCAUGCCCCUUAUGUCUAGGGCUACACACGUGCUACAAUGGUGGGAACAAAGAGAUGCAAGACCGCAAGGUGGAGCCAAACUCAAAAACCCAAUCCCAGUUCGGAUUGUAGGCUGAAACUCGCCUACAUGAAGUUGGAGUUGCUAGUAAUCGCGAAUCAGAAUGUCGCGGUGAAUACGUUCCCGGGUCUU